rnacentral:rRNA from 1 species
CCUGCCCAGUGGAGAACCAUUUCUAAACGGCCGCGGUAUCUUGACCGUGCAAAGGUAGCAUAAUCACUUGUCUCUUAAAUGGGGACCUGUAUGAACGGCUUCACAUUCUUAAACUGUCUCCCUUUCUCACCUCAUAAACUUCUAUACACGUGAAGAAGCGUGUAAAAUUUAGAAAGACGAGAAGACCCUGUCGAGCUUUAGUCAACCUCAAAACAACUUAAACUCUUUAAGAAAAGUAGAUUUUUAGAGCUAGACUUUGGUUGGGGCAACCAUGGAGAAAAACAAUCCUCCAGUUCACUAGGCAGAAACCUCUUCACCUAAAAAUUUUUUAGAACCAGUCAUUCUGGAAAACGGAAAAAGUUACCGCAGGGAUAACAGCGUUAUCUCCUCUAAGAGCUCAUAUUGACGAGGAGGUUUGCGACCUCGAUGUUGGAUUGGGGUAACCUAAGGGUGCAGCAGCUCUUAAGGGUCGGACUGUUCGUCCGUUAAUUCCCUACGUGAUC